rnacentral:rRNA from 1 species
AUGUCGGCGUACGACGAGGUGGAGAUCGAGGACAUGGAGUGGAGCGAGGAGCUGGGGGCGUACACGUACCCGUGCCCCUGCGGCGACCUCUUCCAGAUCACGCUCGCCGACCUCCGCCUCGGGGAGGAGAUCGCGCGCUGCCCCUCCUGCUCGCUCUUCCUCACCGUCGUCUACAACGAGGAGGACUUCGCCGACGCCAAGGAGCCCCCGCAGAAGCCGCCGGCGGCCCCGCAGCCCGUCGCCGUCGCCUGA